rnacentral:siRNA from 1 species
GAGAACCACUCUAAGGUCGCUU